AACGCGGCACGUUCUUCGGCAACGCUGGUAUCGCUUCACUUCUCCAGCCCGGUAUUUCCUUCGCCAGAUCUGAGCAUGGCCCGAAGGGGCAACUCACUGACUCCCCUGCGGAUCCCCGUAGCUUGUGCUUAAGUGAAUUUGCCUUAAUUCGAGUCGCUGCUGCUUUGACGGGGUUUGCGCCGGCGUCACAGGACGACGGGAACCGGGAGCCUGCCGGAGCGCGACCCCCCUCGUCGCGACCCGCGCGCUGCCGAGCCGUUUCGGGGUUACAGCGGGCGUCACAGGGCUCCUGCCGGCUGCCGGCGUAUUGCGAAUCCGUUUUAUAGCUUGGGCGCAGUCGGAUCCUGAAGAACAUGCGUGGAGUCAUCAAGACGCUAAUGAAGUGUUUAGUGAUGUAAAUGUAAUUUAAAGGCUUGGCCCCCUUUGGUUUCAGCGUGCCUGGGAGCUAUUCACCGUGCUCUUCCCCUCGGUUCCUAUUCUCGGCGCCGGCGCUGAAGAGGCACUAACGUUUUCCCUUGCUAAAGCAGUUCCAGGAAACUAAUAGCUUGACCCCGUUUACUCAUGCUGCCGGGAAAAGUGGUUAUUCCCGGGAGCUUUUGUGGCUUUUUUAAGCCCCGCGGAUGCAGCUGGUGCUUCCACAUGGCUCAAUUCAGGUAAAAACAAACCUGACCUCGCCAGAAGUAGUUGAAUACCGCAGGCACGGUUGGAAGAGUAACUCUUUGCUGGCCCGGGUUGUUGCAACUAGUAGCUGUGCUGGCCGACCUGAGACGCCCAUGAAUUUGGGCAGGGAGAAGUGGUGAACAGCCAGGGCAUCCGAAAAGGCCGGCAAAGCAACCGGUCGAGGACACGGACGUGUCAUCCAGGGGCCGCUUUCAGGAAGGUGCUUCAGCAGCCAACCACCACUUCGUUGUCAUCGCUCCCGACACCUGCUCCCGAGCCACGAGGAUGUAUGAAAAUCCCUCCUUCUGUUCCCGUUCCUACAGCUGCGCCCUAUGGAAAAGCCCGAAGCUGCAACUCCUGCGCAUGCUAAAGGGCACGGGGGCCGUUUGCUUUGCAGGAAGACGGUGAYCAAACUUUGUCCUUUGUCAACAAGGGGCUGUUGUGCUCCGGUUUCCGGGGAUACCCGCCGCGAUGCCGCGCAGAAUCGGAUUGAAGGACUGCCGUGGUGGUGGCGGCGGCAUUAUGGGCCACGGCCAGCUGGGCUG
rnacentral:lncRNA from 1 species